rnacentral:lncRNA from 1 species
GGAAUGCGGUCGGAGCGUGGGCGCACGGGCCGCGCGCUCCGUGAGUAGGGGGCCUCUCCCGCGGCGCCUGAGAGCCGGGUCCGCGCGCAGAGGCCCUGGGGGCGCGCGUGCCGGGUGCGCGCUGGCCAGCUGUGACUGCCGCUGAGGGAGCUGCGCGGCGCCUCUGGGAGCCGAGCGCCGGGCGCCUGGAGGGCAGGUCGGGCCUCUUGCCGCUAAGGUCAGCGGCUGCGGUUUGAGAAGACUGCAGCUGCUUCCUGUGUUACGCUGUCGCAGACAAGCAGAAGUUAAAAACUAGUAAAUGACUUAAAGGUGA